rnacentral:rRNA from 1 species
AGUGCUUGCACUCAAUUGGAAAGAGGAGUGGCGGACGGGUGAGUAACACGUGGGUAACCUACCCAUCAGAGGGGGAUAACACUUGGAAACAGGUGCUAAUACCGCAUAACAGGUUAUGCCGCAUGGCAUAAGAGUGAAAGGCGCUUUCGGGUGACACUGAUGGAUGGACCCGCGGUGCAUUAUCUAGGUGGUGAGGUAACGGCUCACCAAGGCCACGAUGCAUAGCCGACCUGAGAGGGUGAUCGGCCACCCUGGGACUGAGACACGGCCCAGACUCCUACGGGAGGCAGCAGUAGGGAAUCUUCGGCAAUGGACGAAAGUCUGACCGAGCAACGCCGCGUGAGUGAA